GUAUGUAGUUGUGCAAGUUGGAAAAGCAGCCUACAGUGCCAGUAUGGAGUCUGCUGUGAGAUCUGGAUGGCCUUGCGUAACAGAGGCUUCGCUGUGUCCACCGAGUUCUCCUGGCAGUACAGCUCGGACAGCAGGCUGGCUGCCUCGAACUUCACGUCCUCAAACUGCGGGAUCUGCUGCGAGAUCAGCCACGCCUUCUCCAGGUGCCCCCGGGCCUGCUCCCCGUUGCGGGUGUGGUGGUAGAGCACGGAGCCGAGCUGGAGGUGCGUGCGGGCCUCCAUGCGGGCCGGGGGCUUGCGGGGCAGCACGGCCUGCAGGCAGUGCACGCACAGGCGGACCUUGGGCGGGCUGGAGGUGCGGAAGUGCUCGGCCAGGCCCAGCAGCGCCAGGUACCACGACUCCCCCCCGCCCCCGGCCGCACCGCCGCCCGACCCCGACCCCGGGCCGGGCCCAGCUCCCCCCGCGCCGCCUCCUCCUCCUCCGCCCGCGCCCCCUCCGCCGCCCCCCGCCUCCCCGGAGCCCGCGGCGCCGCCCGCUGCCGGCUGGGGCUGCUGCUGAGGGGG
rnacentral:lncRNA from 1 species